AUUUCUUAGAAGUGAGGCCAGUCAGCUGGUCAACCACCCCGCCUGUCGCUCUGUGACUGUCCCCGAUCGUCCGCGGUGCUUCUUUACUUGCAUCUUGUGGGAAUGACAUCUGCGCAGGCAGCCCCUUUUUAAGCAUUGCCACGGGCACGUUAGCCUAGCCCUUAAAAUCCCAGCCCAGCCCUGGAUUUGCAGAUACUCAGGGCAGGGCAAGGCGCCUUUCCGCGUUUGGUGUAGUCCCGCAUGCUGCCAUAAGAUGGCACCAGAGAACGCGCCUACCGGGAUAGGGCAGGGCAAGGAGGCGGGGAAGAAAAAAAAGCGACGAGUGAAGAUUGACAUCCAUUAAGUUCAAUCUUUGGUUCUCUGACUCCCAAGCUUCCCAUUCUCUUAGGAGGCUGCAUUUGUGGCGCUAAAAGAAGGGAUGGGCGUGGGAGAUGCCGAGACAUGUGCUCGCUGAAGAUACACCUGUUAGUCCAAGUUGAAGAUGAAUCUACAUGGUGGUGCAAGUAUGUCCUUUGUUCACCCUAGUGGACCAUCGUGGGAGCUUCGUGGAGUGCUUCCUCAGACUGCAACUCUACCCCCCUGAUAGUAGAUUCUAUCAACCAAGUUUCAUAAAGAGUUCUGAUUCCCAGAGGAAUGAAUUCAUCCUCUCUUCAUUCCAAAACUGAAGUAUGUGAAUUAGAAAAAUGUACAAGGAAUAGCAAUUAUAAAUGAUUAGCAUAUGUUUUUGUACCUUUCAAAGUCAUCAUCUGGGUGGCCUGUCUCAGCCCAGCUUCCAAACUUGCUUUUAUUGGAGGCAUUGAGCUUCAGAAUAUCUUCCGUAACCAAGAGGACUGCUGUCGAAUGCUCUACCAUCACUGACUUUGAAAAUGCAGCUGCUGUUAUCCCCUCACCUAAACUUUCUUGAAGACCUGGGAAGAAAGGCAAGAAAACAAUCUUGUCAGAUAUGGAGUUCUCUACUUACACUGCUCCCACCUGAUUAAUAGCUCAGUGCUUAGUCAUUCUCAGACUUGAGUUUACACCAUAAUCAGACGGAGUCCUUGUCACACCACAGAUUGCUCUACCUCUCCCAGCUCCCAGAGUUUCUAUGAAUUUACAUUUCUAAUGAGCUCUCAGGGGAUACUAAUGGUAUUAGUUGAAGACACAAUUUGAGAAGCACUGCUGCUUUCCCAUUUGUUCCAGACUCGUUACCUUGGAUUCGGAGUCUCUGUUUCCAGUUGAUGAUCUCACAAUUUUUCAAAACUUCUUGUGAUUUUUGAGGGUCUUUGGAGAAUAUACGAUAUACAUUUGUGUAUGAAUCCAUGUCAUCAGUCAUCUCCUGUAUAGGAUGGUGAAAGUUCAGAUCAUUCCCUUGAACUAUUUCUUCACCUCUCACUGAUUGCAAUUAUCAGAAAAAUGAAAAUUCAAAAGAAAAUUUUGACACUGGCCCAUGAUGGCUGCAGUUGGGCACACGGAUAAUAAAACCUAGACCUAUAAGCUACUGCUGA